AGUUGGUCGGAGGGUUGUGGGUUAUUGUUAAACUGAUUAACAUUAUCUCCCCCUACAGCCAUGCUUGAUUAGCUUUGU
ensembl:misc_RNA Y_RNA Y RNA